rnacentral:lncRNA from 10 species
AAGCAAUCCCCCUGCCUCAGCCUCCUGAGUAGCUGGGGCUGUUUCAAAAUUUUAACAUUGGUGCUGUAACAUACGCACUGUUUAUUGAUUAGUUGUGACUGGUGAGAAAAUUGUAGAGUCUGGAAUUUAAUUGUUUGUCACAGGUAGGAAGAGGAUUCUCCAAAGCAGUGCUCCCAAGGGAAAGUGACAGGAGGGUUUAAUGGGGCAAUGGACAGGGGAGAAGAUGCAUCAUCGUAUGUAGAGGAGGGUCUCACUGGCGUAGGUGCAGUGAGUCAUCACGCUGGCACUAGGCCAUAUGUUAUGAUAAUGAAGCUAUACAUCCUCCUGAGGUGUAGAAUUUAGUAUGGCAAUGAAGAAAGUUUACUCUGAUCCAUCUGGAAGUUGCUGGUCUCUGUCA